rnacentral:misc_RNA from 1 species
AGAAAAAGGAAUGGCUGUUGGCAGUAACUGCAUUUCCCUGUCUUCCGUUUUCUCAUGCCCAUAUGAAAACGAAGUGCUCUUGAUAAGAAAGAAACCCACUUGCAAAUUCUUGCUUUCCAAGAAUUUCUUCAAAAUGGGUAGGAUCAAUUGUAAGCUAUCAGAUAGUGGAAUCCAAAAAAAACCUGCUACAAAAGAUGUGUCAUUGAACUCAAGGAACAGGAUGGAAGAGUACAAUAUAGCCAUGAAAAGGAUGAUGAGGAACCCAUAUGAGUACCACCAUGAUCUUGGUAUGAACUACACACUGAUAACCAAUAGUUUGAUCGUGGGCUCCCAGCCUCAGAAACCUGAAGACAUCGAUCAUCUGAAACAUGAAGAGAAUGUGGCGUACAUUCUAAAUUUGCAGCAGGACAAGGACAUUGAGUAUUGGGGCAUUGACUUGCAGGCUAUAAUAAAAAGAUGUCAAGAACUUGGAAUUCGUCAUAUGAGGCGGCCUGCCAAAGAUUUUGAUCCAGAUUCCUUGAGAAGUAUGUUACCCAAGGCUGUUUCAUCAUUGGAGUGGGCCAUUUCUGAGGGGAAAGGCAGAGUGUACGUGCACUGCACUGCUGGACUGGGAAGGGCCCCUGCUGUUGCAAUUGCUUACUUGUUCUGGUUUCAGGGCAUGAAUCUGAACACAGCAUAUGAUAAACUAACUUCAAAGCGACCUUGUGGACCCAAUAAGAGAUCAAUACGAGGAGCAACAUAUGAUCUUGCCAAGAAUGAUCCGUGGAAGGAGCCAUUUGAUAAUCUCCCAGAACAUGCUUUUGAAGAUAUAGCAGAUUGGGAGAGGAACUUGAUUCAUGCGCGUGUUCAUUCUCUUCGUGGAACUUGAACAUUUAGGUAAGCAUUUGUUGAUUGUCAUCUUGCGUGACACUACAAUUGAAAACUUCUUGAUUCUUGGAUCUGAUUUUUCCUGAGGAUUUUUCACCUCAAAUUAGUAAAUAUAUCGAUCAAUGAAUCAGCAUGCUAACUGUUCUCCAUUACACCAUAGAAGUGGUAAACAAUUCCUUUCUGAUGAUUUAAUUUGGUAUUUUCAUUACUAAUCAUUGAACUCCAACAGAAAAAAAUUUAAGCCAAUUAUCUUUAACGCCAAGAAAACAAAAGAGUAAACCAUGACUAUUACACAAAGAUACUGCUUAAAUCCAUUAGUUCUACAUUUAAAUUCUUAUUUAUGACCGACUAUCACAGUCAUGAGCUUUAACAUGUUUUAUGCUAGUAUUUUCUGGACUUUCGCAUCAGCUGCAAGUUAUCUUAGGCACCAAAAUCCCAUAUAGGAAAUACAAUGGAAAGCAAUAAAAUCAAACGUAUCGCUUCUUGUACCAACUUCUCCAGCAAGUUAUCAGCUACAAACAUGACAAAGCUGCUAUGGGAGCAACAUUCUAGAGUGGGGCUUUUGCAAUGAGAACAGCUUGGGAAGCAAUAUCAUAUAUUUACAAUAAACUCUUUAAAGAGUCCUUCAAGGAACCUAUCCCAUAAUUAUUUGGUACAACAUUUGUAUGCACAAUGAAUUCACUCUCACCGUUAAUCAUGGUGAAUCUCAUGACAGUCAAAAUAAAACCUUUAACGUACAACAGUUGUAAUGAAAGUGAUACAUACAUGCAUGCACUACAGAGGCGUAAUAAAUGUGGCACCAAGAUGUGCAAUCCAACAGUCGGCCUUUUUGUUACUAAAUUGUAGUACAUAAGGUAUCAGUAAAUGCUAGUCUAGAUGCAAUUCAUUUGUAUGAUCUAAAUCCAAUACAAUAGUUCAUGUCCGCAGUUUCCUAGUUUACUGUCCACUGAGAAUGUGUUUUCAAGCUUACAAGUUGUUAACCGGCAAAAGAGAACAAACCAGUUUUUAUUGAUUUCAGAUCUUAUCGUGGGGCUGGAGCGUUUCCUGAACUAAAAGAAUAUAAACUUUUCUAUCUUAGAUUUCUGAAUCAUUGCAACUGACAUCUCAAUGGGAGCUUAAACUUCAGUGCAUGCCAACACUAAGCCAGUGGCUGCAAGGGAAGUACUUAUCACAGAACAACCUCAUUCCAGCUCAAUGAAAUCCGAGAGUUGUCUAAACAGCAACGAAAGUGUCUUGGUAAUGAAAGUGGUUCUUGAUCAAGUCAAUGGAAAACGCAGAAUAAAACAUUUGAUGCGGAAACGAUGCUCUUCCUAUCAAUGUCAUUAAUUAAAUGCUUGCAUAAUGAUAACUGUACUUUUAAAGAAAACUGAUUGAUUGAUCUUUGCGUCUGCCCAAGAAAAACUUUACACGACUGCUGUUCAAAGAAAAAUUCAGGAAGUUCAGACAUUCUGGAGCUUGGCAAGUUGUGCUUGGCGCUGUCCUAAAUGGAAUGCUGUAACUAUCCACAUUAAACAGACCUGGAUCGAAAAGAGAAAUGGAAAUUUCAUAAUUCUUGGUUGAAAUAAAGUCAUAAGUAUGAUAUGCAUAAAUGAGAAAAAAUAAAAUAAAAUAAGACCAUCCAAAGAGUUAUAUGGCAGAAAUAACACCUAAAUGAAAAUAAAGCUUCAUAAACCAAGAAGCCGCCCAUUGGAUUAAUGAUCCACUAAUCAGAAAUACAUAAAAAUAGUGCUUAUACGUACAGGCAAGGCAUACAAGGAGACAGUUGAGGCUUUCUCAUGAAGAAUGCUGAAUAGUAGUUUAUACAUUCCUGCUGCUGUAGCAUCUCCCAGCCGUUGGACAAUUACAUCUAUGCACACCUACAGCACCAUAUAAUGGCAAACGCCAUGAUGUUUUGAUGCUCUAAGAUGCCUCAUGAAUUCGGAAUAUUGUUUAGUGAAGUGACGGAUUUGCUAUUUAAUUAGAGAAUAUCAGCACAAUUCUUACACGCCUAAAGGAGUUAUAUGGGAUUUCUAUGAUGAUUAACGUCUCAAAUAAUUUCUCAAACAUAUUAGAUAAAAGGAUGCAGUGAAAUGGCUCAGGGAUGAACAUGUAAAAUAACAGUAUUUUGAUUAUUAACAUAAUACCACUCUUCAUGAUCCAAUUCUCAAGAGUCAAGACAGAUGCAGAAGUUGACAAACCUUUGCUUUGUAUUUCUCUUCCUCCGAAACAACAGUAAAUAGGAGUUCUCUUCCUGGCCUGGUCACUACAUAAGUAACGACCUGCAAGUAAUGCAAAAUAACAAAUGGUGAGAUCUCAGAAUAACCUUUAACUUCCUUGACCAACUCACUUCGCCCCUAACAACCAUGGAAGUGGAAACGAUCAGCUAUACACAUCAUACAUGCAUGGUCCAAUAAACAGACAAUAAAAGAAUUAAGAAAACGGGCUUUGUGACAACCUUUCUUAAAGUCUCACAGAUGGCAAAUGCUAUCCAAGUCGGCCAAACAGCAACAGCAACCAAAUUUAAAAAGGCAACAACUGGAGCAGAGCAUAUAGCUGUAGUAACCCCAGCUAUAGUAAGGAUGCGCCCCUGCAUUUGACUUGGUAAGUAAAAUAAAGUGAAAUUAUGAAGUGUGUCUCCUAAUGAAAUGAAAUGCUGUGAACAACUGGAUAAAGAUUCAAUAGUGCAUUAACUAGUAUGAAUUUUAACUCUAAUUGCAUAAAGGUAUCUUCAUUCUUCCAUAAAUUUAGCCCCUUCUAAAAAUGAACCACACUUUAACCCCCAUUGUGUAAAAGGAAAAGUUAUAAAACAAGGAUUAAGGAAAAAAGCCCCUUUGGGUGUUCUCAACAUGCAAGAUUUAACUGUUACAGGGAAGUAGAGUAAUCAGAAAUCAUAGGGCAGCAACCACAAAUGAUCACCAUGUUAAAGGAAUUUAUUUAAAUAUUAGUAUACCGUUAAUGUAAGUUGUCCAGCAAGGAUAAAAACUGCAAUGAAGCUAUUUAUCUGGGCAAACAAUCUUCUUCUGCCAAGAGAACUAGUAACAGUCAUAGCGAUUACAGUCACCUUCUGUUCUUGCAGACAGAAAGGGAAAUCAGCAAUAAGAAAUACAUUGUAUGCUACCCAUAUCAGAAACUUGUAAAUGAAAUGCCACAACUAAUAUGAAUCUAAUUCUAGUGGAAUCUCAGCAUAUAGGCAUUUAAUUUCUGUGGAUUACAGGUCACAUCUGCAUGGUUGGCAUGGGGUUCACAAGCAUAUCAUCUCCCCUGUAAUCUCAAUCACCUCAUGCAUAAUAAACAAAGCCGCAAUAUGAACCUUAAAACAAGGGGAUUAAAAAAUGCUUUCAGUUUUCUUAUUUCCUUUCUUUUUUACCAAAUUCCUGGUUAAAAAAUGAUUGAGAAAAGAUUGCCAAGCAUAAUCAUUGUAUUUCCCUAAUCUUGUGCAAAUCAUAUUUCUUCGCUACUCAGUCAAGCCACACAAUCUGGAUUGAGGGAAAUCUAUAAUUGCAAAAUACAUAUUGACAAACAAAAAAAAAAAAAGUUCAUUUUACCUGGAAGUAGAAGAAUGAGGAGACAACUGCACUCAGCCACAGGAAUAAGGACACAUACAAUAAAUAAGUUGAAGAUAAAAUAAGCCAAAAUCCAUCUAAGAUGGCCAAAAACUGAGGCUUCACUCUAGAUGUAGGUGACUUGGGAGAAAGAACUUUGAAAAAUGCUGAUGUCUGUUUAUCAUCCUCACUAUGCUGAUCAGGAUCAGCCUUUCUGUAAACCAGAAGCAAACAAUUUACUCAUAACGAUAAGGACUCAAACAAUAAAUUUAAAAUUUCAUUGCUUCUUCAUAACAAUAAAUUUAGAAUUCCAUUCCUAGACGAAUAUGCUGAGCCAGCUAAAGCAGUUAAUCUAAAGGGCAAAACAACAAUGACCUGCACAUUUAUCAUAUACACCAAAUAAACUAGAUCAAGAGCUCAUGGAUGUCUGGCGAUGUUCAAAUGUAUUCUCCAGGAGAAAAUUGAAAAGAAAAUGUACUAAAUACAAACUACAAGAACAGAAAUAAGAUUCAAAAUAGACAUGUCACUCGUCUUUUUGAAAAGAGAGGUUUUAAAUGCAUCUAGGAUAUGGAUUAUAUAUGGAGCAUGGACAAAUAGACAAUGACAAAUAGUCACCACAAGCAAUGAAUGGCUAUCCACUACAUUAUAGAGUUUCAGAGUAUUAGUCCAACAUGCAAUUGCAAAGCCACUAAGAUCAAAUUUCCUAACUGUUAAAUCUAAACUUAUACAUUACAUUAGUAAGAGUAUUAAUCAUUGAACACAUAAUGUGGUAUCUAUGUAAAACAGUCCUAUGCUAUGCACCUAAUACUCCUUCAAUUUCCAUCUUACUCCAUCCAACUUUAGGACCUUCAGGCUUUUGGCCAUGGUACGUUAGUUGCAUGCAUAAAUUUAAUAUUUUUGCAGUGUUUUUAGUAUUACAUGUGUAGUCUCAUCUGCAUAUCGGAAGACACUAAGUUCUGGCAUUGUUUUUGUACUUAAUUAGUCUCAAAUGUUAGUACUGAUUUCCAUGGCAAAUCAUAUAAUAUAUUAUUGCUCAUAAGUUAUAAAAACUCCACCUGUGCCAACCAGCUCAACAACCCCAACUUAAAAACAUGAUAUAACAAUAAGAGCAUACAAAACAAAACUACAUGAAGCAAAGAAAAUAAGAAAUACAGAAAUAUAGCUAAACCUUAUGGGAGAUAAUUCUUCAGGAAGUUGGGAUAUGUCCUUCUUGAUCCCUUUUGAUGACUGUGCAGCAAGUUCCAUCAACAAAGCAGCAAACAAAAGCAGAAAUGGUCCCAACCAAGCCAUUCUUGUGACAAAUAAUGACCCAAAAAGCUGGCCAAGUGUAGCACCAGCCCCAAUGAACCCAAACAAUCUUGAACCUGACUCACUGUCCAUCACAUCAAUUACUCUAGCCCAAGUUGAAGAGAUGGUAAUAAGAUUAAGCAGAGCAACCCAGAGGAACAAUGCAAUUCUCACAGAAAUGUAAAACCAUCCGUGGUCAUCCCAACUGCCAGAAUAUGCAGGUGAACCAGCUUCAUUGACAUCAACUUUUAGAUCCUCCUUUAAUUCAGUGGAUAUGGAAACUGUACCCUUGGUUUUGAAUGGGGAAAUUCCACUUGAUGAGGAACGCCACAGAAAGAAGAACACAACAAGUGAUACACUAAAAAAUCUGUGUAUCAAAAGCAAAGCCUGGAAUUUCAAGAAGCACCUUUGCUUUAGAGAAAUUAGGCAAGGAGAAAAUAAGAGUGGACAAAGGAGCAGCGAUCAGCGUUAGAGCCAAGGAUCCAACAAACAAACCAGGUAGAUUCGAUAACCCUAACGAGAUCGCGCCCUCGUCCCGCAACGGCAACACCACAAAAUACGCGCUCAAAAUGAAGAAGAAACAAGAGGAAGAGUGAAGCACAGAUGAGACUUCGUGAGGGUGAACGGAGACGAACGUGGAGAGGAUCGAAUCCAGACGAGACCUCCUCAUUCUGCUUAACAAUAAGAUCUCAAUCUCGAUUUCUGGAUUUGAUUGAAGAUGACAAUCGAAGGUCAAUGCACUUUCUUUCUAAAUUCUCGGAGAUUUUUCAAAUGGAAAAUGAAACUUUUUUUAUUUACAAAGUAACCCCGUGAAUUUUAUGCUAUCAGCUAAACCCGGCUAUGGGCCAAAUCAGAACGAGACCGGUUUAAACCAGACUGAAAUUGGAUCGAACUGGAUCAAACUCGUAUAUGACUCGAACCAUGAAUAAAUUUAACUG